CCUUCGGGAACUCUGAGACAGGUGCUGCAUGGCUGCUGCUAGCCCUUGUUGUGAAAUGUUGGGUUAAGUCCCGCAACGAGCGCAACCCUUAUCCUUUGUUGCCAGAGGUCCGGCCGGGAACUCAAAGGAGACUGCCAGUGAUAAACUGGAGGAAGGUGGGGAUGACGUCAAGUCAUCAUGGCCCUUACGAGUAGGGCUACACACGUGCUACAAUGGCGCAUACAAAGAGAAGCGACCUCGCGAGAGCAAGCGGACCUCAUAAAGUGCGUCGUAGUCCGGAUUGGAGUCUGCAACUCGACUCCAUGAAGUCGGAAUCGCUAGUAAUCGUAGAUCAGAAUGCUACGGUGAAUACGUUCCCGGGCCUUG
rnacentral:rRNA from 1 species